rnacentral:rRNA from 1 species
AUUGAACGCUAGCGGGAUGCUUUACACAUGCAAGUCGAACGAGUGGCGGACGGGUGAGUAAUAUAUCGGAACGUGCCCAGUAGCGGGGGAUAACUACUCGAAAGCGUGGCUAAUACCGCAUAACAUCGGAUGGGCCCAUAUCGGAUUAGCUAGUAGGUGGGGUAAAGGCUCACCAAGGCGACGAUCCGUAGCUGGUCUGAGAGGACGACCAGCCACACUGGGACUGAGACACGGCCCAGACUCCUACGGGAGGCAGCAGUGGGGAAUAUUGCACAAUGGGCGCAAGCCUGAUGCAGCCAUGCCGCGUGUAUGAGAAGGCCUUCGGGUUGUAAAGUACUUUCAGCGGGGAAGCGUUAUCUGCAGAAUAAGCACCGGCUAACUACGUGCCAGCAGCCGCGGUAAUUC